rnacentral:rRNA from 1 species
GUGGGGAAUAUUGGGCAAUGGGCGGAAGCCUGACCCAGCGACGCCGCGUGGGGGAAGAAGUCUUUCGGGAUGUAAACCCUUGUUGUACGGGACGAAGGAAGUGACGGUACCGUACGAGGAAGCCCCGGCAAACUACGUGCCAGCAGCCGCGGUAAUACGUAGGGGGCGAGCGUUGUCCGGAAUCACUGGGCGUAAAGCGCACGUAGGCGGGCUGUCAAGUCGGCCGUGAAAGGCACGGGCUCAACCUGUGCAUGUCGGUCGAUACUGGCGGUCUGGAGUAUGGGAGAGGGAACUGGAAUUCCCGGUGUAGCGGUGAAAUGCGUAGAUAUUGGGAGGAACACCAGUGGCGAAGGCGCCUUUCUGGACUGUGUCUGACGCUGAGAUGCGAAAGCCAGGGUAGCGAACGGGAUUAGAAACCCUAGUAGUCC